CGCACCUGGGCCGGCCCCGUCCCCGCCUCCGCCGCCGCUACAAAAGCGGCCGCCGGGGCGCCUGCCGCCGCGCUUCUGUCCCCUGCCGCGGAACCUCCGCGGGAGCCGGAGCCUCGCUGGGCCCCCGCGCAUGGGGGGCUGCCCCGGACAUGCCCUUCUCCCCGCCGGCGGCGCCGCUCGGCUUCGCCGUCCUGCUGCUGGCCGCUGCGGGAAGGUCCCUCCCCGUCAGGCGGAGUUCAGAUGGGUCCCUCUCUGGGGUUAUGCAGAAGUGGAAGGAGUAUCAGCUCCAAUGCCUGAAAUAUUUGUAUGAGACACCCCCCAUUGUGGCAGAAGGCAAGUUCUGCAACAGAACAUUUGACAACUAUGCUUGCUGGCCGGAUGGACUGCCUGGCACAUACGUGAAUGUCAGCUGCCCCUGGUAUCUCCCCUGGGCUAAUGCAGUGCUGCAUGGGCAGGUGUACCGGUUUUGCACCCUGGAAGGGACAUGGCUGCUGAAAGAGAAUUCGACGCUUCCCUGGAGGAACCUGUCUGAAUGUGAGGCCUCUGACCAGGAUGCACCAGAAGAACAGCUCCUGAAUUUAUCCAUCAUAUACACCAUUGGAUAUGCUCUUUCCUUCUCUGCCCUUGUAAUAGCAACUGCCAUUCUUCUUGGAUUCAGACAUCUGCAUUGCACAAGGAAUUAUAUUCACCUGAACCUCUUCACCUCUUUUAUCCUCCGGGCUAUAUCCGUCUUCAUUAAAGACUCAGUGGUGAAGUGGAUGUACAGCACAGCCACACAAGAGCACCAGUGGGAAGGACUUAUCUCCUUUCAGGAAUCACUCAGCUGCCGCUUGGUCUUUGUGAUGAUGCAGUAUUGCGUGGCUGCAAACUACUACUGGUUGCUGGUGGAAGGCAUGUACCUGUACACACUGCUGGUACUUUCAGUCUUUUCUGAGCAGAGAAUUUUUCGGCUCUAUCUCUGCAUUGGCUGGGGUGUGCCAAUGCUGUUUGUUAUCCUCUGGGGAACUGUCAAGUACCUUUAUGAAGAUGAGGGUUGCUGGAGCAGAAACUACAACAUGAAUUACUGGCUGAUCAUCAGACUGCCCAUUCUCAUCGCCAUUGGGGUAAAUUUCCUGAUCUUUAUCAGAGUUAUAUGCAUCAUCAUCUCCAAACUACAGGCUAAUUUGAUGUGCAAAACUGACAUAAAAUGCAGGCAGUGUCUCCAGAGCCAAUGCAACAUCAGCCUCCUGCUUCUACCUCUAUCUCAGACAGGUGGUGGUGGAGCAGAGCCUCCAUCACAAGACUUGCUGGCUGGCCAAGUCUACAUUGACUCUAAUCCCGCUGCUGGGGACCCAUGAGGUCAUCUUUGCCUUUAUUACUGAUGAGCAUGCCAGAGGGAUGCUGCGCUUUGUGAAGCUUUUUACUGAACUCUCCUUUGCUUCUUUCCAGGGGCUGAUGGUUGCAGUUCUCUACUGUUUCAUCAAUAAUGAGGUUCAGAUGGAGUUUCGGAAAACCUGGGAGCGCUGGAGAUUGGAACAUUUGUAUGUCCAGAGAGACAACAGUAUGAAACCUCUGAAGUGUCCGGCCAACAGCAUCAGCAGUGGAGGCACAGUAGGCAGUAGUGUCUAUGCUGCCACUUGUCAGGCCACAUUCAGCUAAGAUUUCUGCAGGUGAACGAGACUGAGAGCAAUGAACUGUAUAAUAUACCUGAAAACCCUUAAAUACCCAAGCAAGUGGCUUAAGUAUGGCAUCUCCAGCAAGAAACUUAAGCAUAUGCUGCUCAUUGCCUGCAGGCUGUUGGACAAAGGUUUCUAGGGAAAGCAAUCUGCUAAUGUAAUCAACACAUCAGAGGAAAAAUUGAUCACAUCUAAAGUAAGUUAAAAGAGUUCCUUCCUAUUUGCACACAAGGCCUCCAGGUGUCCAAAAGUUAAGCAUAGCAUUGAUCCAGUCUGAGACCACAGGGUCAAUGGCUUAUUACUGUUGAGUGGGUGAGCUGAGUGAUUGAAUGAUUAAAUUACAAGGAUACAAAAUAUGAUUAUUGCCAAAAAAUACAUUUAAGCUUUUAUGGGGUAAGGCAAGGUGUUAUCAGCACUUUUACAAAAAAAAAAAAGAAAUCUCAGUGGGACACAACUUGCGUUUUAGGGAAGAAUCGGUUUUGUACUAAGAGUUUCCCAGAGUUAAAGUUGAAAAUAUGCUCACCUGUUUUCUGGGUGGGUGAAAAACAGUAAUGUGAAGGUCUAUCAAUACAGCAGGUAGUGUGGUGUCACUCGGAAAAAAAAUAAACCCAGUAUCUGGUAGGGGCUUCUUCUGCUAUUAAUAGGUGCAUAUUAGGUCUGUUGACACAGAUGGAAAUAUCCAUUGAAUACACAGCCCUUCCAUUUUUAUACAGUACUCUGCCUCUGCAUUUGGCACACAGGUGUUAACAGGGACAGGACAAUGACUUGUACUUCAAGAGGACAUUAUCUUCCUAAGCUAUACUCCGCUUCUUGUGGGUACAAACACACAGAAGCCAGCUUGUGGCCACAGCUGCUCUUACCAGACGUCACCAACUUGGAAAAUUGGGUAGUUCACAGUGUGGGCUCACUUUUCUGUCUCCUCCAGCCUUGUUCGUUCUCUCCCGGCGGGAGACACCCGCAGGGGCUGCACUCCCGGUGGCGGGACAGCAGCUGUGGCGGAGGCGGAGGGUUCAGCACCGCGGACAGCGCCUGGCCCCCGCCCGUGGGCUGCCCACCGCCUCCGCCACAGCCUGCGGCCAGCAGCGGGGUUCAAACAAUCCCCUCAAACGCCGUCCUAAACUCAACAGGCUUUUGUCUGUUCGUUUAAAACUGCGAAGGCUCUUGCAAUGAAUUCAUCUACACCGCUCAUUAUGUUACCCACCCUGAUGUUUACUGGAGUUGCUGGGGAAAAACAGAGGUAUACUUACCAGCAGCACGUGACCAAUUGCAUCACUUAAUAACAUACUUUGCCUGUCUUUACUUGGCUGUUAUUCAGGCUCCAUUUACAGCAAAGAGGCAAGAUGCCAAAACUAGCUCUGAGAAUAUCCCCAUCUGUAGACAUCCUGUAAUAAGUAACUUCCAUGGUGUAGCAGUUAGACUACUCAGCAGAGAUUAAAAAAAAAAAACACAACACAACCCUGAUUUUUCAAAUCUUUCUUUGCACUUGCAUUCACA